AUUGAACGCUGGCGGCAGGCCUAACACAUGCAAGUCGAGCGGAUGAAGGGAGCGUGCUCCUGGAUUCAGCUGCGGACGGGUGAGUAAUGCCUAGGAAGCUGCCUUGUAUUUGGGGAUAACGUCCGGUAACGGGCGCGAAUACCGCAUCCGUUCUGAUUUAGAAAGGGGGGGAUCUUCGGACCUCACGCUAUCAGAUGAGCCUAGGUGGGAUUAGCUAGUUGGUUUGGUAAAGGCCUACCAAGGCGACGAUCCGUAACUGGUCUGAGAGGAUGAUCAGUCACACUGGAACUGAGACACGGUCCAGACUCCUACGGGAGGCAGCAGUGGGGAAUCUUGGACAAUGGGCGAAAGCCUGAUCCAGCCAUGCCGCGUGUGUGAAGAAGGUCUUCGGAUUGUAAAGCACUUUAAGUUGGGAGGAAGAGAAGUAAGUUAAUACCUUGAUGUUUUGACGUUACCAACAGAAUAAGCCCCGGCUAACUUCGUG
rnacentral:rRNA from 1 species